UACAGAGGGUGCAAGCGUUAAUCGGAUUUACUGGGCGUAAAGCGUGCGUAGGCGGUUCAGUAUGUCGGUCGUGAAAUCCCCGGGCUUAACCUGGGAACUGCGGCCGAAACUGCUGGGCUUGAGUGUGGUAGAGGGCGGUGGAAUUCCAGGUGUAGCGGUGAAAUGCGUAGAUAUCUGGAGGAACACCGGUGGCGAAGGCGGCAUCCUGGACCGAGAUUGACGCUGAGGCGCGAAAGCCAGGGGAGCAAACGGG
rnacentral:rRNA from 1 species